GCCUGGAUAGCUCAGUCGGUUGAGCGUCUGACUUCGGCUCAGGUCAUGAUCUCACGGCUCUGUGGGUUGGAGCCCUGCACUGGGCU
rnacentral:tRNA from 1 species